GGGCGCGUAGUUCAGAUGGUUAGAGCGCACGCCUGAUAAGCGUGAGGUCGGUGGUUCGAUUCCACUCGUGCCCA
rnacentral:tRNA from 1 species